GACGAACGCUGGCGGCGUGCCUAAUACAUGCAAGUCGAGCGCAGGAAGCCGUCUGAACCCUUCGGGGGGACGACGGUGGAAUGAGCGGCGGACGGGUGAGUAACACGUAAAGAACCUGCCCAUAGGUCUGGGAUAACCACGAGAAAUCGGGGCUAAUACCGGAUGUGUCAUCGGACCGCAUGGUCCGCUGAUGAAAGGCGCUCCGGCGUCGCCCAUGGAUGGCUUUGCGGUGCAUUAGCUAGUUGGUGGGGUAACGGCCCACCAAGGCGACGAUGCAUAGCGGACCUGAGAGGGUGAUCGGCCACACUGGGACUGAGACACGGCCCAGACUCCUACGGGAGGCAGCAGUAGGGAAUCUUCCACGAUGGACGAAAGUCUGAUGGAGCAACGCCGCGUGAACGAUGAAGGCUUUCGGGUCGUAAAGUUCUGUUGUAAGGGAAGAACAAGUGCCGCAGGCAAUGGCGGCACCUUGACGGUACCUUGCGAGAAAGCCACGGCUAACUACGUGCCAGCCGCCGCAGUAAUAC
rnacentral:rRNA from 1 species